rnacentral:lncRNA from 1 species
UUACAGCUAGAUGUCGUUACCAUCGCAUUGUUUUCUUGUCACAGGUCGGAAAGUUGUUGCUGCUUCUUUGUUAUUUUCUUGGUGUUUGUGAAAUAAAUUCAACACCAUAUCAAAUUAGGAAACGUGAAAGGAUCGUGGCCGUCGUUCAGCCUACCGUCAACUAUUUUGUUCAAAAUCAUUGUAUUCUACUGAAUGUGCCAUCGAAAUGAUACAGGAGUCAUAAUUAUCUGCUGUUUGUAUUGGAUUUGCUAGAUCACCAACCCCAGCAUAGACCAAUCUCUAAUUUCAUCUUCUCGAGAGAAGAUUGGAUAACGGAUCAGUGGUUUCAUGUGUUCUUAACUCCAGGUUUCUAAAUUUGCAGAUUGGCAGACU